AUUGAACGCUGGCGGCAGGCCUAACACAUGCAAGUCGAACGAGUGGCGGACGGGUGAGUAAUGUCUGGGCAACUUCCCGAUGGAGGGGGAUAACUAAUGGAAACGGUAGCUAAUACCGCAUACCAUCGGAUGUGCCCAGAUGGGCUUAGCUAGUAGGUGGGGUAAUGGCUCACCUAGGCGACGAUCCCUAGCUGGUGUGAGAGGGUGACCAGCCACACGGGAACUGAGACACGGUCCAGACUCCUACGGGAGGCAGCAGUGGGGAAUAUUGCACAAUGGGCGAAAGCCUGAUGCAGCCAUGCCGCGUGUAUGAAGAAGGCCUUCGGGUUGUAAAGUACUUUCAGCGAGGAGGCGUUACUCGCAGAAGAAGCACCGGCUAACUCCGUGCCAGCAGCCGCGGUAAUUC
rnacentral:rRNA from 1 species